rnacentral:rRNA from 1 species
AGAACGAACGCUGGCGGCAUGCCUAAUACAUGCAAGUCGAACGAACACUUCGGUGUUAGUGGCGCACGGGUGCGUAACGCGUGGGAAUCUGCCCUUGGGUUCGGAAUAACAGUUGGAAACGACUGCUAAUACCGGAUGAUAUCGAAAGAUCAAAGAUUUAUCGCCCAGGGAUGACGCCCGCGUAGGAUUAGCUAGUUGGUGAGGUAAAGGCUCACCAAGGCGACGAUCCUUAGCUGGUCUGAGAGGAUGAUCAGCCACACUGGGACUAG